GUCGAGCGGAGACAGUGAGUAGCUUGCUAUGAGCUGUUUUAGCGGCGGACGGGUGAGUAACGCGUGAGCAACCUUUCCCAGACAGGGGAAUAACACACCGAAAGGUGUACUAAUACCGCAUAAGACCACGGGAUCACAUGGUUCUGAGGUAAAAGAUUUAUCGGUUUGGGGUGGGCUCGCGUCCGAUUAGGUAGUUGGUGAGGUAACGGCCCACCAAGCCGACGAUCGGUAGCCGACCUGAGAGGGUGAUCGGCCACAUUGGGACUGAGACACGGCCCAAACUCCUACGGGAGGCAGCAGUGGGGAAUAUUGGGCAAUGGAGGAAACUCUGACCCAGCAACGCCGCGUGGAGGAAGAAGGUUUUCGGAUCGUAAACUCCUGUCCUUGGAGACGAGUAGAAGACGGUAUCCAAGGAGGAAGCCCCGGCUAACUACGUGCCAGCAGCCGCGGUAAUACGUAGGGGGCAAGCGUUGUCCGGAAUAAUUGGGCGUAAAGGGCGCGUAGGCGGCUCGGUAAGUCUGGAGUGAAAGUCCUGCUUUUAAGGUGGGAAUUGCUUUGGAUACUGUCGGGCUUGAGUGCAGGAGAGGUUAGUGGAAUUCCCAGUGUAGCGGUGAAAUGCGUAGAGAUUGGGAGGAACACCAGUGGCGAAGGCGACUGACUGGACUGUAACUGACGCUGAGGCGCGAAAGUGUGGGGAGCAAACAGGAUUAGAUACCCUGGUAGUCCACACUGUAAACGAUGAAUGCUAGGUGUAGGGGGUAUCGACCCCUUCUGUGCCGCAGUCAACACAAUAAGCAUUCCGCCUGG
rnacentral:rRNA from 1 species